rnacentral:lncRNA from 1 species
UGGCCCCUUGGUGCUGUCUGGCCCAGUGUCCACAGUUCCAGGGCUGUAGUGACAGCUUUUUAUCAUUACAGGUGUAGGUGGAGCUUUUGCUGGAAUCCCAGGAGUUGGACCCUUUGGGGGACCGCAACCUGGAGUCCCACUGGGGUAUCCCAUCAAGGCCCCCAAGCUGCCUGGUGGCUAUGGACUGCCCUACACCACAGGGAAACUGCCCUAUGGCUAUGGGCCCGGAGGAGUGGCUGGUGUAGCGGGCAAAGCUGGUUACCCAACAGGGACAGGGGUUGGCCCCCAGGCAGCAGCAGCAGCGGCAGCUAAAGCAGCAGCAAAGUUAGGUGCUGGAGCAGCCGGAGUCCUCCCUGGUGUUGGAGGGGCCGGUGUUCCUGGCGUGCCUGGGGCAAUUCCUGGAAUCGGAGGCAUC